UACAGAGGUCUCAACCGUUGUUCGGAUUCAUUGGGCGUAAAGGGUGCGUAGGCGGCGGAGUAAGUCAGGUGUGAAAUCUCGGGGCUCAACCCGAAACUGCACUUGAUACUGCUCGCUCGAGUACUGGAGAGGAGACUGGAAUUUACGGUGUAGCAGUGAAAUGCGUAGAUAUCGUAAGGAAGACCAGUGGCGAAGGCGAGUCUCUGGACAGUUACUGACGCUGAGGCACGAAGGCCAGGGGAGCAAACGGGG
rnacentral:rRNA from 1 species